AAAAAAAGAACUUAAAUAUUUAUCCCUUCAUCUCACAACUCGGAAAAAGAAAUUCCUGCGUGGUUCCUGUGGGAAUAGCAGUUAGAAGUUGUACUUUUUCAGUAGGUCACACGCUAGAAAGGGCUGUAUCUGCUGUACCAGGAAGCAGCACUCCCCAGGGAGGAGAAUGAGAAUGCCCUGUUAGUUCCCAGUUAUUCACCUUCCUUCUAUCGUGCAGCCCCUUGCAAUCAGCUGAUAUUCCUAGAAAAAUCUGUGGUCUGCUGAAUAGCAAAAGAGCUGAAAACAAGGGCUUGCUCCAGCUGGCAAAGGAAAUGGAAUACUUUGCUCAUGUGUCGAUCUGAAGCUGCAGCUCACAGGAGUGCCUGUGCUGGCCUGACCCCGUGUUACCAAAGAGAUGUGGUCUUGACCCCAGUUAGGAGCUCAGCAUCUCAGGCCUGGCCAGGUAGUGAUUAGAACUUCAAGAAUGAACUGAAGGAGAAUCUCUUCUUGAUGUACAGAUGGACCCAUCUUCCUCAAAACAUGGGAACAGAACAGACUAGUGGGAAGAAAAUCAAAGGAGUGAUGGGUUAUUUUCAUGACUCUGCCUUUAGACAAGCUCGCUCCCUCCCUCUACUCCCACAGUCUCAUGCUGUGUAAAAUGUGGAGUUUUGGCCAUGCUUCCAAAGGAUGUGCUUUAGAAACUCUGUCUGAAAGAGAUACUUCUGCACUGCGGUACAGAAGCAGUGCAGGGAAGGGAACAGAAGAAAAAGCUCUAGACAUACUAUGAAAUCCUGGACUUGGGGUGAAAAUGCCAUUCAAAGACUGAAAACCAUAUUGGAAAAGUAAAUUAAAAACAAACAGCCUUGAGAAAACCAAUCAGCAACAAAUCCCCAGAACUGAGUUUGGCUUUGACUUUAGUAGGAGGAAAGAGCAUCUGUACCAGAAAGAAAACCAGCAACGAUAUGUCAUGGAUAAAGGAAGACUUUGCAAAGGGAGGCCUAAUGAACGCUGAAGACCAAAGAGAUAACCUUGCUCUACUGCAAGGAAUUUUCCUUAUCUAGACAGGCCUGGGAAUUCAGUCUUCCAGGCACAGAUGCAGUGCUUCACAUAAUGCUGCAGAUAUUAAUGAUGUUUCCAGAGAAGGAACCUUUUGACCAUGCCGUGAGUUUUCCAUUCUGUGAAGCUCCCGGGGAGGGGUGUGGAAUUCUUUACUCAGUGCAGAGCACCUCCAUGGCAUCCUAACGCCCACCCCAGAUAGAGCAAGGAGCCUCUGAGGGAUAUCAGCCUGCUCUUUUCUGCAGCAAUUGCAAACCUCAUUGUUCUGCUUGACAGGAUAACCCCAGGGCAAUUCAUUUCAGGGAUGGCAAGGGUACAUAUAUCUUUCUUUAACUGCAAAAAGAAGGUGAUUUUAAAAUACUUGAUGAAAUGGGAAGAGUCCCCUAGCACUGGCUGCACAAUGAGUUUGCUCCGGUUUUAGCCAAGUCACCCAGUUGCACUG
ensembl:lncRNA